GAUGAACGCUAGCUACAGGCUUAACACAUGCAAGUCGAGGGGCAGCGGGAUUGAAGCUUGCUUCAAUUGCCGGCGACCGGCGCACGGGUGAGUAACGCGUAUCCAACCUUCCGUACACUCAGGGAUAGCCUUUCGAAAGAAAGAUUAAUACCUGAUAGUAUGGUGAGAUUGCAUGAUAACACCAUUAAAGAUUUAUUGGUAAACGAUGGGGAUGCGUUCCAUUAGGUAGUAGGCGGGGUAACGGCCCACCUAGCCUGCGAUGGAUAGGGGUUCUGAGAGGAAGGUCCCCCACAUUGGAACUGAGACACGGUCCAAAACUCCUACGGGAGGCAGCAGUGAGGAAUAUUGGUCAAUGGGCGAGAGCCUGAACCAGCCAAGUAGCGUGAAGGAUGACGGCCCUAUGGGUUGUAAACUGCUUUUAUAAGGGAAUAAAGUGAGUCUCGUGAGACUUUUUGCAUGUACCUUAUGAAUAAGGACCGGCUAAUUCCGUG
rnacentral:rRNA from 1 species